AGAACGAACGCUGGCGGCAGGCUUAACACAUGCAAGUCGAGCGCCCACUUCGGUGGGAGCGGCAGACGGGUGAGUAACGCGUGGGAAUCUACCCAUCUCUACGGAACAACUCCGGGAAACUGGAGCUAAUACCGUAUACGCCCCCCUUUAGAGAUAUUGGGCGGGAAAGAUUUAUCGGGGAUGGAUGAGCCCGCGUUGGAUUAGCUAGUUGGUGGGGUAAAGGCCUACCAAGGCGACGAUCCAUAGCUGGUCUGAGAGGAUGAUCAGCCACACUGGGACUGAGACACGGCCCAGACUCCUACGGGAGGCAGCAGUGGGGAAUAUUGGACAAGUGGGCGCAAGCCUGAUCCAGCCAUGCCGCGUGAGUGAUGAAGGCCCUAGGGUUGUAAAGCUCUUUCGCCGAUGAAGAUAAUGACGGUAGUCGGAGAAAGAACGCCCCGGACUAACUUCGUA
rnacentral:rRNA from 1 species